GCCAGAGAGUAAGAGCAACAUAAUGGGGAUUGUGUGUCAAAACACUCACCCUCUGGCUACGGAGAUUGAUUGCAAGGAGACAAAACUGGAAGCAGGAGGCAUUUAAGGAAAUGGAAGUAAUCCAAGACAGAAGGAUGUGAAUCUGAAUGAAUGUGGAGGCACUGGGAUAGAGAGGAACCGAGCAAACGAGCUUGUAUGAAGCUGACAGGAGCAUCCCCCAGACCCUUUGUCCAGACUCAUGAGCCUGUAUUCCUGUCCAAGCAAGACCCCAAGACUUGCUGUCUUCACAUGCUGGAACCCACAGAACCAGAACCCAGCUAUCAGGAUGUACAAAGCUGGGCUAUGACCAAGACAUGUGUGUAGGUGCUCCAGCUGAGCCCAAACUUCAAGCUAUCCCUGUCUGGCCCCAGACAUGUGAGCAAAGACGCUCCAGCCACCUGAGUCCCUCCCAGCAUCUUGAGUCUUCCUCAUUGACUAACAUC